UACAGAGGGUGCGAGCGUUGUCCGGAAUCACUGGGCGUAAAGGGCGCGUAGGUGGCGACCCAAGUCGAUGGUGAAAGCUCGCCGCUCAACGGCGAGUCGGCCACCGAUACUGGGUUGCUGGAGCGCUGUAGAGGCUCAUGGAAUUCCGGGUGUAGCGGUGGAAUGCGUAGAGAUCCGGAAGAACACCGGUGGCGAAGGCGGUGAGCUGGGCAGUUGCUGACACUGAGGCGCGACAGCGUGGGGAGCAAACAGG
rnacentral:rRNA from 1 species